GCCUCACCGGCCCGUGCGCACCUUCUUGAUGUUGUAGAGGCGGGUGAGCAUGCCGACGCCCCGGUCGUUGAGGAUGACGCUCCCGGCUGAACACAGCAGAUGUCGCGCUCUGCGAGGCGGGCCUCCCCUCUCCCAUCCUCCCCAUCCCGUCCUGACUCCCCCGCCUCAAGGCAGUUUGUGAGAGAGAGGUCGGAAGUGAGGGCAACUCAAGUUCCUGAGAUAAUCAGGAUCUGGAAUUUGUCGACGAAGACCACCCUUCCGGAGAAGGCGCUAAUAGAAGACGCCCCGGCAUGUGGGAGGCAAAAAUAAAUGUUUGUUCAAUGAA